rnacentral:misc_RNA from 1 species
ACCAACGCUUCCACAACAUCAAAAAUCACGACACGGAACUCCAAUACCUUGGACAGAUGGAAGAAAUUCCAAUAACAACACGCCAAACUUUACCCAAACAGAUCAAUAAGUGUAUAAAAUCUCAGACGUUCAAAUACCCAAUCCAAAAAAGAAAUUCCCCGCUCGUUUGCAGAGAAGACUGAGUUUCGCCAAUAGUUUCCUUGAAAUCGUCAGGGCGAAGACAGAACAUAAAAAAAACGAAGAUAAAUCCUCGUAGUUCCCAGGAAAAUUAAAGAACAACAGAGAGAGUAAUCCCCUAAUUUCCCAGGAACCAAUGAGUAAACGGAUCGGCAAAGAGAGG